CCACUUUCUGGGUUACGCAUGUCUACUGUCUUCAGGAAAAAGAGGACCUUAGAACUGAAGGAGCAAGAUUCCAACAUCACACUGUUUUUGUUAGCUGUGUGUGUGUGUUUCCUGUGUAUCCAAAAGACAGAGGAGAUGAAAAAGCAAAAGAAAAGAAACGAGGAAUCAGAUUGGAAAGAAGGUUUCUCCAGGACGUCACCUGUAUGAGGUACACAGUGUGAUGACACACUCUGUGCUUUUCCUACUUGUGUCCACGUGAGUGUCUGGAGCUGCCCUUCAAGGAGAGCAAUAGAUGAAUGAUUCUGCCUUCCCGCUGAGAGGGAUGUGGGUCCUGCGGAUGGUCGGGGUGAAGCUUCCUCUCCUUUCUGCUGACAGCACUUCCUCAUUAAAUGCAGAGAUCUGCAAAAAGGGAAAAUAAAAACACAAGAAGAAAAAUGAGGCAUCAAAGACCCUCCUCUUAUGCCCAUGGGGAUUUGGAGGACGGGUUAUUUCUUUGCUUUCCCAAAGGGCCCAAGAAGAGCUUCCGGGGAGAGGGAGAGCACCCUUUUUGAGGAUUCCCGACAAGCCUGUCUCCCGAGGGCUCCUGUAGGAGAGGCGGUAACUAGGGCGCAGAUCAUUUUCUGUGUUAAGGGCAUCCAAGGAGAGAAGAGAGUGACCGCCUAUGACUUGGGAGGCCCGUAAAGAUGGGGUCCUGGAUGAGCAGUAGCAAGGAGGGUACGGGGAUGGGUGUGCCUUGGGGGCUGGCAGUGAGGACGGCAUCGUCCCUAGAGAGUUUAAAGACAAGAAUCAAUCCAGCUCCAAGUGAGACUGCUUUUAAACCAUUUUAAUUGCCACACACCAGUAAGUUCAAGCAAUAUCAGUGAUAAAAUCUCCUUCCGUUGGGCAGCCAGUCCUUCUGCACCCUCCUGGUGUGUCCUGAGUAAGUGGGGUAGGGAGGAGCUAGUGUGGCCCGAAGACAAAGGAACCCGAGAUAUUUCUUUCCUCUUCCAAGCAAGAGAGGCUGGAGACAGCACAUGAGUGUUCAGGGAUCCUUGGGGGUCAA
rnacentral:lncRNA from 1 species